rnacentral:rRNA from 1 species
CCUACGGGAGGCUGCAGUGAGGAAUAUUGGUCAAUGGGCGAGAGCCUGAACCAGCCAAGUCGCGUGAGGGAGUACUGCCCUAUGGGUUGUAAACCUCUUUUGUCGGGGAGCAAAAGCCGGACGUGUCCGGCUGUGAGAGUACCCGAAGAAAAAGCAUCGGCUAACUCCGUGCCAGCAGCCGCGGUAAUAUGGAGGAUGCGAGCGUUAUCCGGAUUUAUUGGGUUUAAAGGGUGCGCAGGCGGAUUUUUAAGUCAGCGGUAAAAUCGUGGGGCUCAACCCCAUCCAGCCGUUGAAACUGGGGAUCUAGAGUGUGCGAGAGGUAUGCGGAAUGCGUGGUGUAGCGGUGAAAUGCAUAGAUAUCACGCAGAACCCCGAUUGCGAAGGCAGCAUACCGGUGCACAACUGACGCUCAGGCACGAAAGCGUGGGUAUCGAACAGGAUUAGAUACCCUUGUAGUC